CCUACGUGGGGCUGCAGUGAGGAAUAUUUGUCAAUGGACGCAAGUCUGAACCAGCCAUUCCGCGUGCAGGAAGACGGCUCUAUGAGUUGUAAACUGCUUUUGUACGAGGGUAAACGCAGAUACGCGUAUCUGUCUGCAAGUAUCUUACGAAUAAGGAUCGGCUAACUCCGUGCCAGCAUCCGCGGUAAUACUGAGGAUUCAAGCGUUAUCCGGAUUUAUUUGGUUUAAAGGGUGCGUAGACGGUCGGAUAAGUUAGAGGUGAAAUCCCGAGGCUCAACUGCGGAAUUGCCUCUGUUACUGUUCGGCUAGAGAGUAGUUGCGGUAGGCGGAAUGUAUGGUGUAGCGGUGAAAUGCUUAGAGAUCAUACAGAACACCGAUUGCGAAGGCAGCUUACCAAGCUACUUCUGACGUUGAGGCACGAAAGCGUGGGGAGCAAACAGGAUUAGAUACCCGAGUAGUC
rnacentral:rRNA from 1 species